rnacentral:rRNA from 1 species
GACGAACGCUGGCGGCGUGCUUAACACAUGCAAGUCGAACGGUGAAAGCGGAGCUUGCUCCGCUGGAUCAGUGGCGAACGGGUGAGUAAUGCAUCGGAACGUGCCCGAUCGUGGGGGAUAACGCAGCGAAAGCUGCGCUAAUACCGCAUACGAUCUGAGGAUGAAAGCGGGGGACCGUAAGGCCUCGCGCGAUCGGAGCGGCCGAUGUCAGAUUAGGUAGUUGGUGGGGUAAAGGCCCACCAAGCCGACGAUCUGUAGCUGGUCUGAGAGGACGACCAGCCACACUGGGACUGAGACACGGCCCAGACUCCUACGGGAGGCAGCAGUGGGGAAUUUUGGACAAUGGGCGAAAGCCUGAUCCAGCAAUGCCGCGUGCAGGAAGAAGGCCUUCGGGUUGUAAACUGCUUUUGUACGGAGCGAAAAGGUCCUUUCUAAUACAAGGGGCUCAUGACGGUACCGUAAGAAUAAGCACCGGCUAACUACGUGCCAGCCGCCGCCGUAAGAC